rnacentral:rRNA from 1 species
CUCUAUGUCUAUAGCACCCUGAACAUGCCUGACCUUGUCUGAUCUCGGAAGCUAAGCAGGGUCAGGCCUGGUUAGUUCUUGGAUGGGAGACAAUAGCUAGAACUGACAUACAAA